ACUGAAACUUGCGAAGCCCAUUGGCUAACUCUUUUGGUAUAUAAAGAGAGGGUGGGCGAUUUCAGGCUCUUUUCCACAUUUGCUUAGUGUGUGUGUUCGUAAGGGGCUUUUGUAUUCGUCAAUUAGACCGUAAUCAUGACCGGAUUUGGUGCCACCCCGGACUUCAACGAAGGCUCAAAAAUCAAUGCCAGCAAAAACCAGCAGGAUGAAGGCAAAAUGUUCAUCGGGGGUCUGAGUUGGGAUACAAGUAAGAAAGACCUUACAGAGUAUCUGUCUCGGUUUGGGGAGGUGGUAGAUUGCACAAUCAAAACUGAUCCAGUGACUGGGCGUUCAAGAGGAUUUGGCUUUGUUCUUUUCAAAGAUGCUGUGAGCGUUGACAAAGUGCUUGAAACAAAAGAGCAUAAACUAGAUGGCAAGCUCAUUGACCCAAAAAGAGCUAAGGCACUAAAAGGCAAAGAGCCUCCCAAGAAAGUGUUUGUUGGCGGACUCAGUCCUGAAACAACAGAGGAGCAGAUCAAGCAGUAUUUUGGUGGAUUUGGAGAAAUUGAAAAUAUUGAGCUGCCAAUGGACACAAAAACAAAUGAAAGGAGAGGCUUUUGUUUUGUCACCUAUACAGGCGAAGAACCAGUAAAGAAACUUUUGGAAAGCCGGUUCCAUCAAAUUGGUACAGGAAAGUGUGAAAUAAAAGUUGCACAGCCCAAAGAAGUCUACAGGCAGCAACAACAGAAGCAGCAGAAGGGAGGAAGAGGAGCAGCCACUGGAAGGGGUGGUGCCAGAGGAAGGGGCAGAGGUCAAGGUUGGAAUCAAGGCUACAGCAACUACUAUGAUCAGAACUAUGGAAGCUAUGGAAACAAUGGUUCUUAUGCUGAUCAAGGGUAUAAUAACAGUUAUAGUGGUUAUGAUUACUCUGGAUAUAACUAUGGAAGCUAUGGAUAUAAUCAAGGAUACACAGACUACAGUGGGCAACAAAGCACAUAUGGCAAAGCAAGAGGUGGAGGAAACCAUCAAAACAAUUACCAGCCUUACUAAAGCGGUGACUAUUGAAACCUAAGCGGGAACUUCAUUGCAGGCCGUGUGUCACCCUGACCACGUCUAUCUCUCUCUGGGGUCGCACGUUGUGGGCAGAGCGCAAGGCACACACCAGAAACCGCUGUCCUGUGGUGGCAAUGGAUAAAGAGACUUAACAUCCUGCGACAAUGCCGGGAGCCGCCAUCAUGUUACUCUUUUGAGAGGACUAUGACUGAGGCACUAAGUGUCUUGCUGUAAAUAGAAGCUGGGAUUUUUUUUUUUUUUAUUUCAAUGGCAUUUUUUUGCCAUCUGUAUGAAAGAGGUUUUAUGUUCAGCAAUAUUUUUAAGUUCCUUGUUUGUGCUUGUGAAGUGAUCGGUGCAUUCAAUUUUGAUGUAAAUGAAGUUUGUAAUAAAAGUAAGAACAGCUUUUGCGUUA